CAAGUACUCCCUCCAUCCGGAAUUACUUGUCAUCAAAAUGGAUGUGUCUAGAACUAAAAUACAUCUAGAUACAUCCAUUUCAAUGACAAGUAUUUUCGGACGGAGGGAGAACAAG
rnacentral:pre_miRNA from 1 species